rnacentral:rRNA from 1 species
UACGAAGGGGGCUAGCGUUGCUCGGAAUUACUGGGCGUAAAGGGCGCGUAGGCGGAUAUUUAAGUUGGGGGUGAAAAUCCCGGGGCUCAACCUCGGAAUUGCCUUCAAAACUGGAUAUCUUGAGUUCGGGAGAGGUGAGUGGAACUCCGAGUGUAGAGGUGAAAUUCGUAGAUAUUCGGAAGAACACCAGUGGCGAAGGCGACUCACUGGCCCGAUACUGACGCUGAGGCGCGAAAGCGUGGGGAGCAAACAGG